rnacentral:rRNA from 1 species
CCUACGGGUGGCAGCAGUGAGGAAUAUUGGUCAAUGGGCGGAAGCCUGAACCAGCCAAGUCGCGUGAGGGAUUAAGGCCCUGCGGGUCGUAAACCUCUUUUGCCGGGGAGCAGUGGUCCGGACGCGUCCGGACCGUGAGAGUACCUGAAGAAAAAGCAUCGGCUAACUCCGUGCCAGCAGCCGCGGUAAUACGGAGGAUGCGAGCGUUAUCCGGAUUUAUUGGGUUUAAAGGGUGCGCAGGCGGAGGCACAAGUCAGCGGUAAAAUCGCGGGGCUCAACCCCGCUCCGCCGUUGAAACUGUGUCCCGUGAGUGCGCGAAGGGUAGGCGGAAGGCGUGGGGUAGCGGUGAAAUGCAUAGAUAUCACGCAGAACUCCGAUCGCGAAGGCAGCCUACCGGCGCGCAACUGACGCUCAUGCACGAAAGCGUGGGUAUCGAACAGGAUUAGAUACCCCUGUAGUC